AGCACACACACACACACAGCAGUGUGUGUAUGUGUGUAUAUAUGUGUGUAUAUAUAUAUAUAUAUAUAUAUAUACACACACAUAUAUAUAUAUAUAUAUAUAUAUGCGGCGUGUGCUUGUGCUUU
rnacentral:miRNA from 1 species